rnacentral:rRNA from 1 species
AGCCUACGGGAGGCAGCAGUGGGGAAUAUUGCACAAUGGGGGAAACCCUGAUGCAGCGACGCCGCGUGAAAGAAGAAGUAUUUCGGUAUGUAAACUUCUAUCAGCAGGGAAGAAAAUGACGGUACCUGACUAAGAAGCCCCGGCUAACUACGUGCCAGCAGCCGCGGUAAUACGUAGGGGGCAAGCGUUAUCCGGAUUUACUGGGUGUAAAGGGAGCGUAGUCGGCGAUGCAAGUCAGAAGUGAAAGCCCGGGGCUCAACUCCGUGACUGAUUUUG